rnacentral:lncRNA from 1 species
CUGCAACACUAUUUCCUCGGCCACCCCAUCACGGUGGUCUCGUCCUUCCCCUUGGGUGAGAUAAUCCAAAAUAGGGAGGCCACGGGAAGAAUAGCCAAAUGGUCGGUCCAGCUCAUGAGUGAGUGUUGAUAUUUGGUAACGCAAUAAGGAAACGAUCCGCAAGCGCACGGAUAUCGGUGAGCAUUUCACCCGGGAGGUUAUCCAGAGUUAUCGUAUUUAUAUAUUUGCCACUGGGAGAAAGGGUGCAUCUGACUAACCAAAUCUAUUGCUACUAUCCCUUUAGGCUACAAAGAAUGUCUUUCGAUGUGAGUGAUAAAUAGAGAAGACUGCAACUGUAGUCUCCUUCUAACCUUGGUAAGGAUGAUCUACUGUUCUAAUGGGGAGGCUAACAGAAUCUAGACACCACAAAGGAUGUUCAACCCGCACCUAUAAACCCUAUCCUUCCUGCUAACGAGAUGUGAUCUACAAAGGUAACUCGGAAUUGUCACGUUCCUCACUACUACCACGGUCCAGCUAGUCAGGGAAUAUCUAUGAGUACCCCAGCCUAAACACCACGUUUAUGCCAGCAAUGAUUACUCUAAACUCUACGCGAAGAUAUUAAAGUAAACUCAUAAACCAUAAGAACAAUAAAACAAGAACUUACUAGAAUUUAGAAGUCGAAAUACUGAAGAAUCCUAGGAGCAAGCUUCGGGUUAGGAGAACUUGAUCCCGCAGGUACAAGCUUGGAGUAGACACCGACAAGCCGGGCUUCCUCCAAUCUACACCUCCACUCUAUCUCUCUCAAUCUAGUAGAAACUAGAAGAUCUAUUUCUACUUUACAUUGGUUGCUACGCCUAAAAAGAAAUAUUAAUUAGAGAAGAGUUUUUUCCUUCGAGGGCACCCCUCAAUAUCUAUGAUAAUUUCUUGUCUUCUCCAGGGGCCAGGGGGGUCUCCUUAUAUAGUCCUCCUCCUCUAUGUGUUUUUGGGUCGGUAGGCGAGGUGGUACUAUGUUUUCCUAGAUCCAAUAGGUCGGUGGAACAUCCCGAGCGAAGAGAGUCCUGAUUGGCAUCCAACAGGGGGCGGGCGCCCUGGGCCUGGCCCCUUUCGGCCUCCGCUUCCUUCCCGUGGCUUCUGGAGUCUUCUAGAUGGUAGAAAAUUGCGUGGUGCGUUGAUAUCUCUAUGUAAUCCCGACAUGUGGGCCUUUUUUCCUUAUUUCCUGAUAACCCCCUGCAGAAAUAGACAAACACCAAAACUCGUGGAAUUCUGUCAGAUAAAAUCCUAAGUCUAUAUGUUGAUUUCAUUUGGAUCCUUUUCUUUGUUUAUUUGAUAAUUAAAUUUGAUACUUAAGGACCGUCAACAAACUCCCCCAAGCUUACCUCUUGCUCGUCCCUGAGCAAGGAUAGACUCAGCAAUGGAUUAGAAGUUGUUGCAAAUAUCUUUAAAAAUUAACGGUACACAUGCUUUUUAAAUAAGAUCUCAUCUCUGAGUUAGAGUAAACUGUCAAGACUUAAAACUUACUUUACCUUCACCAUGGGACUUGUAACCGUCACUUCUGUCUUGAGAGGUUAAAAGAUAGAACAGUCUAGCCAAGUGCCAUAUCUCUUAUUCUUGAUCAGCUAUAGCUCUGGGGUUUUUGCAGAUUUUUAAAUAAAACUCAGAGAUUCCUUGUAUGACUCUCUCAUAUCUCUCUUUUGUGGUAUUUCUGGAUCCUUACCAAGGCAUUGAUGGUAUAUGCCUUCUCUCAAGAUAUGUGGUAUUUGUGGUAUAAAGCAUAGUGACAUUGCCUUCUCUCUCACCCUACUCUAAUAAGGCUUGAUAUCUGGAGCUCAUAGGUGGGAGACAACUAAUACAUACUUACAAGACAUUUAUUGCAUAGUCAAACCAUGGAUCUAGAGAAACAAAUCAAUAAGCCAAAUCAAGAUGUGCAUGUGUGGCGAAUGAAUGGUGUAUGGUGAUGAUGGUAAUAACAAUGGUGAAAGUCUAAUUCUACUUUUGCUCUUUUGAGGGGAUACAUACCUUCCUUGCUUUUUGAAACUUUAUGAGGAGAAUGAGAUGCUCUUCUUUUUCUUUCCUCUCAGGUGGGUAUCUUGUACCCCUAAUUCUACUGUCGAACACUUGUCCAUUUUUACCUCUCGUCUCACUUUUUCUUUCUUUCGAGGUUCUGGGCACUUGCCCCUUUUUAUUUCCUCGUUUAUAUAUUUUUUUUUCUUUAUUUUUCAGAGCACUCAUCUCUUGAUAUAAUAUAGCAAGUGGUAGUAACCAAAAUAUUUGGAGCAUUUAAUUCACAGGGAAUAACAGGGAUAGGAAAAUGUUUUGACUAUUCUCUCCUGGAUUAGGAGUAGAAUAUUUUUGGGUGAUUCUGGAGAUGGAAAUGGAUGGAUAUAUGUGGAUGGUACUUCCGGAGUAGAAGUAGCAUAUAUGAGUGAACGUGCAAGUGAAUCUUGAUUUAACCACAUGACAAGCUCCUAAGGGUCUACAUAGCUUGACCACACUCAAUGCUCAUAAGCAGUAAAUAGUAAAUGUGUGGCUCAAACUCUAACAAGCAUGUAUAUAUGGCUGUGGUAGGAAUUUAAACUCUCAUCAUACAGGAACUCAUCAUGCAAUAUUUUAAUGAUUUUUCAAGAUAAAAUUUUCCAGAAUUCUAGCAUCUCUAGGAACAGAUAAACAGCAGCUCAACCUUCCCAUAUCAUAUCCGUUAACAACUUAGAUUUCAGAUCAAGUUUUCAUCCCACAAGUUUAGAUCUAGAGCAAGCUUUAAAUUAUAACAGUUAUGUCUAAACUUGAGAGGGAACUUCAAAAUUGCAAAUUAGGCAGAGCAACUAUUCAUCAUAUCCAUGCUAGAGUUUUAUUAUUAAGAUUCAGAUUAGCAUAGCCACUUUAUUUAUUUAUUAAACGUACUAAGCAAAAGAUAUAUAUAAACACAAAAUCUUUAUUUGGUUUUUCAUAGUUUAUGUAUUUUAAUAUUCUAACAUAAUAUAAGUAUAAAGAUAGGUAGAAAUACUUAGCGAGAAUAAUGGGGGUGCUUUCCCCCAAGCUGAAUUUUGACGUAAUUUCUCUUGAUGUAGCUAGCAGGUGACAGAGAUGUAUUUGAAAGUCAGCAGCAUUCUGACAGCGAUUAGAAUGUCCUCUGUCUGCUAGUCUUCUUGAUUCUUAAAUUCUGUGGAGCUCAAAUAGACAACAAAGCUUGUGGAACUAAUUAAGUGUUAGCAUAAAUAUCUAGCCUUCAUCAUGUUGAGCUUCCUUAAUAAAUGUUAUUUAUUUAGCAGGAUCAUACACUUAUUAUUAUUGUAUAUAUUUAUUAUAUAUAUAUAUAUAUUUUUAUUGUAAGAUGAAAACUUAUUUAUUUUAUUUUUAUGCCACCACAGUGAAUGUACUUAUGGGUUUAUGCUAUGAGCAUACUCACAUGGGGCUUACUAUUUUUUAACAUUUUUAUUUUCUUUUCAAGAUAGCAUGAACCUGAUUAACUAAGCAAAUUAUAAUUGAAUAAUUAAAAGGAAAGGGUAACUACCAAGUUUACCUCUUGGCAAGGCGUUCAGUAUUUUUAUGUCCUCCGAACGGGACUCUCUGUUUUCUCACUCGUCCUGGGAUUUGCUAGGUGGCGUAGUCGGUGAUUCCGGCGGCGCCUCUCUUCGUGUAUAACUAUCUUCUCCCUCCACACCUGACUCGGUGCUACGGUCUCCUCAGGACAGUUCUGUUCAAGCUGUAUGUCUUCAGUCCUUAUCACUUCUCCUUCGUAGUCUACCCAUCCGUUCUUGAUGAUUCGCAUCCUCUGGUUGCGGUUGCGUCGUCUUCUUGUCCUGACCUGCUUAGAGUCUUCAACUAUAUAGUUAUGGGCAGUAAAAUAGUUGCGUACCUUCUCAGAGGGGAAAUACAUGUGGACUUCUCCGGUUCUAAUAUAGAUGAUUGCUUUGAUAGUGUUGAGGAACGGUCUUCCAAGGAUGGUGGGUGGAUCAUAUUCGUCUUCUCCCAUGCCAAUGACCUGAAAAUCAUCUGGAGCUGAAUAUAUUGGUUGUAGGGGCAUGGUUCCAUGCAGGAGCUGAUAAGUGACUGCGGCCAUUAUGUUGUCGUCAGAUCCGGUGUCGUAGAGUGUCUUCUGAAAAGAGUAUCCAUUGAUUGCGCACUCGAAGCUUGGAACACCAGGGUCGUCCUUCUUGAUCAAGAAAGGUGACUUGAGUCGACGAUGUUGACCUCUUCCGACAAGGAUCCAAUGUUUUAAGUCUUCUGGACAAGACUUUCCACCAUCUUCAUCCUUUAGGUGCAUCAUUUGAUUAGGUGUAGACCUUGACGUCUGCACCUCUUGAUACGGUGUCACCCAUGUUCUUCUUUGCCCAGCAGUUCGAAGUAUGGUGUUGGCAAUAUCCUGCUCAGUGUGUUUGUGCUCAUAGAUCCAGGUCCUUCACUUGGUGGAGUCUGGGAGUUGUAAAACUCCUCCAUGUUUUGCUUGAAGUGUACCUGUUGAUAGAGACAAGGCAGAGAUCAAGUGCAUGGGCUCUGUUGGUCGAAAACACCAACAGAACCAAAAGUGUAUUUGUUCUUCUCUAACCUUAAGCAUAGUGAGCAAGACAAAGUUGAUGGAUAAUAAGAUCAUGAGUGUAGUAUUUGAAACAUUUGUCAAAUCAGAUGGCUCAACCUAAUGGAAAGAUAAUCUAUCUAUAUUUAUGUUUUGUUUAUAUCUUCCAAAUAUUGAAUGUGCAACAUAUUAGCUUAUAUGUUUAGGAGCGUGGGAUCACGAAGGUAGUACUAAGAACAAAGAUUAAAGGACUAAACAUGUUGAAUUAAUUGAGUUGGUUAAUCUGGAGUUAUAAAUCAUACAUGUUUGUCUCUUUAUUUAUGUGAAUGCUAGAACCAAGGAGAAGCUUAUAAAAGCGAUAGUCAAGUACCUUAAGGUGUUACCUUACUUGAAGAGUGAUGGUACAGUAUCACCUUGUGGAAGCUUUCCUUUCUUAGCGGUUGUGCAUUGUGUUUGUGGCACCCUCCAUGAAUCAUCUCUUAUGAGCUACGUCUUUCUUGUGCAAAUUGUUAAACUUCAUGUGUCACUUUCUUCAUCUCCAUUGCGAGUUUAUCUCAGGACUUCCCAGGUUGAUAUUGAAAGUUUUCCUGCAGGGGUUAGUCCAACAAAAUAUCCCAUAUCUACUAUAGCAUACUAUCGGCUUAAAAAAAUCAACCUAGACACCAUGUCUAAUUUGAUUUAGAAGGGCAUUUUAACGUAAGCACCAUGCUUAAUUUAAAAUCCCUUGGAAGUAAGAUCAUCAUUCCUAAACUAAGCACCAUGCUUAAUUAAGAGAUAAAUGAAACUAUUCCAAACCUAGACAUAUACUAAAGCAAAUAAAGGUAGCAUGAGAGCAUUUAUAGAGAUCUACUUAAGUGGAGAUGAAGUAGUGUAAUUAGUAUUUAACAAAUUGAGCAUGUCUCAAAGGUAAGGACAACCAACGUAGGAACAUGACAAAAGAUGUUUUUAUGUAAAGUACUCCCCCAAGCUUGAAUUUUACAAAAUUCAAGUUUGGAUGAAUUUAAUUCAAUGUUGUGUGAUGGUUGGUUGGACAUACCCUGUGCUUGUCAUUCAUCCGAUCUUCUUGCUCCAAUCCUGGAAAGGUUAGUGACAAGAAUACCCAAAGGAAUAUUUCUACAAUUAUGCUCAAUACACAAGGCAAUGUUGCAAAUAAUUAGAAGUUCAUGUUAUGAUCUGAUAAGUGCUUGUUUUAGGACACUAAGCUUGUCCUUGGGAAACCAUCAAGUUAUGUUGGUGAAGUGGUUUCCCCUCCAACACCUACCUAUGUCAAGAUCAACUCAACGAGAUCUGCAAUAUUUAUUAUAGACAUAUGCAUCGACAACCGCCCUUUUAAAGUUUUUAUAAAUGAAGAGGAAGAGGGGGUUGGAGAUCUCAAAUGUGGUAAGGAUGGAGAGACAAAUUGAUUGGAGAGAUGUUUUAUAUGAGCAAGGACUGGGUGAGGUAUUUAUGAAAUAACUUCCAUGCUCACUGUUGUUUCUCUCAUUCUUAAACUCCAAGGAUGAUUCUUCAUGAAUGCUUAAAAUUCCUCUAGGAUUAUCUCUCAAGUUUGUUUUAUCUAUCCAUUCAAUGGUGAUAGCACAUGGAUUUUUAAUGCCCUCUAGCCAUUGAUGUUGCUCUUCUCGAUCCUCCUUCUUAUGCAUGGGAUGUCUAGAGAGAUUCAUAGGAUUAUUGGGAGGUUCAAGAGAAAAAGCAUAGUAGAAAUUAUUAAGCUCAAGGAUGGGUUGGAUAGCCGAAUUAUGGGAUUGAAAUGUUUGGAAAUCGGCUAUUGAAACUUCCUCUCCUUGUAUGGGAGAUGAUUCCUUCUCUAUCUCUAAGAUUUUUCUAUAAAGACUAGUGCAAGAAGGAUGUCUACGAAUGAAGACAUACCUUCCUUUACUAAUAGAUAAAGAAAGAAAGACUCUACCAAAGGUUAUAUGAUUAAGACCAAUGUGAAAAUAUCUAGGAAAAACAUGGUCUUGUAGGGCUAGGUCUAAACCAGAAUUUAUAGAAAGAUUAAAAGAUUCCCUAGGUGUAUCUAAAAGUGCAUUAUCUUUUUGAUUAAAAGAUAGGACCUCAGCUAUAGAAAAGGGUUGGUUUUGACCUAUUGCAAUCAACUCCGGACACAGAUCAUAAUUAGGGGCAGGACGUGUUGACUCCCAUGGUCUAUGGCUGGUCUCCGAAGGUGCAAAGAAUUUAAUAAUAGGUAUGGAAUUUGAGUUAUCCAUAAAGAUUAAAAUAAAGAAUAAAAGUAUAAAAGUAUAAUACAAGAUAAUAGCAAGACUCAAAGUUAUCUCAGCAAACCGUCUUCCUCCCCGGCAACGGCGCCAGAAAUGCUUGUUGAUAUUUGGUAACGCAAUAAGGAAACGAUCCGCAAGCGCACGGAUAUCGGUGAGCAUUUCACCCGGGAGGUUAUCCAGAGUUAUCGUAUUUAUAUUUUUACCACUGGGAGAAAGGGUGCAUCUGACUAACCAAAUCUAUUGCUACUAUCCCAUUAGGCUACAAAGAAUGUCUUUCGAUGUGAGUGAUAAAUAGAGAAGACUGCAACUGUAGUCUCCUUCUAACCUUGGUAAGGAUGAUCUACUGUUCUAAUGGGG